rnacentral:rRNA from 1 species
UGGGGAAUUUUGGACAAUGGGCGAAAGCCUGAUCCAGCAAUGCCGCGUGUGUGAAGAAGGCCUUCGGGUUGUAAAGCACUUUUGUCCGGAAAGAAAUCCUUGGCUCUAAUACAGUCGGGGGAUGACGGUACCGGAAGAAUAAGCACCGGCUAACUACGUGCCAGCAGCCGCGGUAAUACGUAGGGUGCAAGCGUUAAUCGGAAUUACUGGGCGUAAAGCGUGCGCAGGCGGUUUGCUAAGACCGAUGUGAAAUCCCCGGGCUAACCUGGGAACUGCAUUGGUGACUGGCAGGCUAGAGUAUGGCAGAGGGGGGUAGAAUUCCACGUGUAGCAGUGAAAAUGCGUAGAGAUGUGGAGGAAUACCGAUGGNGAAGGCAGCCCCCUGGGCCAAUACUGACGCUCAUGCACGAAAAGGCGUGGGGGAGCAAAACAGGAUUAGAUACCCCUGGUAGUCCACGCCCUAAACGAUGUCAACUAGUUNUUGGGGAUUCAUUUCCUUAGUAACGUAGCUAACGCGUGAAGUUGACCGCCUGGGGAGUACGGUCG